rnacentral:rRNA from 1 species
GACAUAGGUGGCGAACGUUAUCCGGAAUUAUUGGGCGUAAAGGAUGCGUAGAUGGCAGAAUAAGUUACUGGUCGAUGCCAAACUCAAUUUGACGGAAGCUGGUAAUACUGUUCUGCUAGAGGGCAGGAGAAGUUGAUGGAAUUCUGUGUGGAGCGGUGAAAUGCGUUGAUCUACAGAGGAACACCAAGAAAGGCGAAAGGCAGUCAACUAUUCUGUUCCUGACAUUGAGGCAUGAAAGCGUGGGGAGCAAACAGGG